AUGAACGCUGGCGGCGUGCCUAAUACAUGCCAGUCGAGCGAACAGACGAGGAGCUUGCUCUUCUGACGUUAGCGGCGGACGGGUGAGUAACACGUGGAUAACCUACCUAUAAGACUGGGAUAACUUCGGGAAACCGGAGCUAAUACCGGAUAAUAUAUUGAACCGCAUGGUUCAAUAGUGAAAGACGGUUUUGCUGUCACUUAUAGAUGGAUCCGCGCCGCAUUAGCUAGUUGGUAAGGUAACGGCUUACCAAGGCAACGAUGCGUAGCCGACCUGAGAGGGUGAUCGGCCACACUGGAACUGAGACACGGUCCAGACUCCUACGGGAGGCAGCAGUAGGGAAUCUUCCGCAAUGGGCGAAAGCUUGACGGAGCAACGCCGCGUGAGUGAUGAAGGUCUUCGGAUCGUAAAACUCUGUUAUUAGGGAAGAACAAAUGUGUAAGUAACUAUGCACGUCUUGACGGUACCUAAUCAGAAAGCCACGGCUAACUACGUG
rnacentral:rRNA from 1 species